CCGCAUCGGCAAUCACAAUUUUCAGUAUUAGUCCCCUGAGACCUCAACUUUCAUGACUCAGCUGCACAACCCUCAUUAAAGCCUAAUUAAAUCAUUUAUCACAUAUUCUCAUUCAUUGAACCAUAUUACACAUUAAGACAUACAUUGUUGGUAUCGUCAUAUCAACUACACUUGUGAGGUAACAUCAAUAUUCCAAACCAAUUACAUCACUCGGGGGAAUUCAUAAACACCCUCCCCC
rnacentral:lncRNA from 1 species